UUGCAGCCCGGCUUGAACGGAGCUCUUUUUGCGAUUCCUAAUAGUUCAACUUAUUGCUUCACUUCGUUCGCAAAAAAGCGGGAGUGGAAGACGGAAAUAGC
rnacentral:misc_RNA from 1 species